rnacentral:rRNA from 1 species
CAGUAGCCACGGUAAUACGUAGGGUGCGAGCGUUAAUCGGAAUUAUUGGGCGUAAAGGGCGCGCAGGCGGCUUCUUAAGUCUGUCUUAAAAGUGCGGGGCUUAACCCCGUGAUGGGAUGGAAACUGGGAAGCUCAGAGUAUCGGAGAGGAAAGCGGAAUUCCUAGUGUAGCGGUGAAAUGCGUAGAUAUUAGGAGGAACACCAGUGGCGAAAGCGGCUUUCUGGACGAAAACUGACGCUGAGGCGCGAAAGCCAGGGGAGCGAACGGGAUUAGAUACCCGCGUAGUCCCUGUCUCUUAUAC